AGCCUUUUAACUUGGUUGGUGUAUCGGUCAGAGUUCUCCAGAGAAACAGAACAAAUAGAAUAUUUUCUAGGUUCCACCACACUCUAUAAGUGCUGUGAUUCUGUAUUUAUGGAAAGCUGUUUUCCAGUCUCAAAAGAACUCGAUGAGAGUUUCUGUGUCAAACUUCAUAUAUUUCAAAAUGGACAUUUCCCAAUGCAGUUUGCAUUUCUUCAUCAUUUGUGGGGAGAAAUCAGCUUGCAUGUCCUGAGGACACUCAAACAGCCCUGUGGAGAGGUGCCUGUGGUGAGUUGCUGAGGCCUCCUGCCAAAGGCCGUAUCAACCUUGGAAAUGGAUUCUUCAGCCGCCGUGGGGCCUUGAGAUGACUGCAACCUUGUUCUAGGUCUUGACUGCAACCUCCUAACAGACCCUGAGCUGGAACCACUCAGGUGUGUCACUUCCAUCCUGACCUUCGGAAAAUGUGUGAGAGUACAGAGAAUGGGAAUGAGCCAGCCUGGAUUGUGCUUACUAUUUAGAAAAAGGUGGAAAAUCCUUGGCUCCAUGCACCAGCGCCGCUUCAGUGCCCGGACCUGAAAAAUCAGCCAAUCCCUGAACUGCUGGCUCUCCCUAAAUGUGGCAUGAACUGGGCUCUUUGCUUCAUUCAGAGAUUGUUUUCUGCCAGCAGUUUCCCCUUAGCAAGUG